rnacentral:tRNA from 1 species
CAAUAAGAAGUAAAAUUUACAUUUAGUUUCGACCUAAAAGUUUGGUAUAUAGCCCUGUUGU